CUCCCCGGGAUCCACGCCCCGCGGAAGUAGGGUCUUGGUGCCCAAAUGUGCACCCGCUGGGGCAGAGGAGAAUCCGCGGGCCUGACGCAGAAUCGCGCCCUCCCCCCAACCUGGCGGCUGCCCGGGCGCUCCCCAUGGGCCCAGACCCAGGAGACAAAGGAGAACAUGGGGCUUCAGGGGUGCACUGGGGCGCGAUCGGGGCCAGGCUGCCGGGAAGGAUGAGCGCCUCUGGGAGCCCUCUGCAGUUCUUUGUUCUGCGCACAAGAACCUGAACAAGUCACAGUGGAGCCCUUCCCUCCGGUAACACCAGUUGCCCCUCCUCUGGGAAGCCUUCAGAGGACGGGAGCCUGCCUGGAACAGCCAAAGAGUCCUGAGUCUCCUGCCCCAGGAGGUCUCCGAAGAUGCAGGCUCUACCUUCUACCCAGCCCCCAGCCCUCCACCUGCGAAGUGGAUGUGAGGUCGCUCUGUGCAUCUCCACCCCGCCCCUGCCGGUCGGCCCUUGCCUUGCUCAGGGUCCCACGCUCUUCCCUUCUCCUGCCCCUCGUGGCCACUCCUGUCUGUCCUGGCCCCCCACACAUCCAGGGGCAGUUUGCUUCCUCCAUUGACCUCCCCUCUCUGUGACAUCUGUUUUUACAAACUUCAGGCAUCUAAGCCGGGCACACUGGCCCAGGCCUGUAAUCCCAGCACUUUGGGAGGCCGAGGCGGGCAGAUCGAUCACUUGAGCUCAGGAGUUCGAAACCAGCCUGGCCAACAUGAUGAAACCCCAUCUCUACCAAAAAUACAAAA